GCCGUCACAUGCCCGGUGGUUGUGCGAUUGUUACUGCGCUCUUUCCUCCCCGUUAUCCCCGUGUUGUGAUUGCGUAGCUUUUGUUUUGGUGCUAUCGGGCACUUUGUCGUGCCGUAGUGUCUGUGACAGUGCAAUGAGCGCGAGCAACGACCACGACGUCAUGCGUGACGGUGGUAAGACUACCGCACCAAGGUUUGUGUAUACGGCCGAAGAACGCGAGCUGCUUCGCAACUUGGUGAUGCGGCACAGGUCCGUCAUCGAAAACAAAAGAACGGACAACGUGUCGAAGCGCGCCAAGGACAUCGGCUGGGAAAAAAUUACCGAAGAGUACAACAGCCAACCAGGCAUUCGUCGCGUGACGGUUUCGAAGUUGCGGAAGCUGUGGGACAAUGAAAAGACAAAGUGGAAAAAAAUGCAGUCGGAACAAAGGCGGAACUUGUACGCAACAGGGGGUGGUCCAUCGACCUGCCGGCCAAUGAGCCCGUCGUAGGGGCGGCAGCCUCGCAUAUGGCGACACGGCUCCCCAACCCCUAUGACAGCGAUGGAGCACACAUCGGCCAGCCGGUGCUGUCUCUACCGCCGGCACGCAUCUUUGAGAGCAUGGUGACUGGCAGUGAAGACACCAUGGAAGAGCUGCUCGGUGAAGGAAGAAUUGGCAAACUCGGCAGCAUGUCGCAGCUGUUGUGUUGUGCUAUGCCAGCAUGCAUGUAUACUGAACGUGAUGUGUUAUAUUUCACUGAUAUUCAGUUCCGUGACUAAUUUUUUUUUCGUUCAGCAAAUCAGGAACGCAGGAACAUACAACAGAUAAAGGAAGAGUGCGGUGUGGUUCUUGUUUUGUUUGUUGUCUGUCCCUGCGCUCCCACUGCGCUGAACGAAAAAUGAAUGACCAACUAGCCCACCUUUCGAUCUUUCCGUGACUAAUGCAACUGUCGAAAUGAUUAGCAUGUCUGUUUUACUAGAAUUUACGUGUCCGUAAUUAUUUUUUUAUAUUUAGUAAUACUCUCAAUCCCGUCAGGAACUUUUUCCAGGAGUGGGUUCAACACUGUGUGCACUCAUUAUACAUGCACACAAUUAUGCAGUAGUAGAUAUGCUUACAAAAAAUUAUACAAAAUAAUAAUGCUAAUUACUUCCCAUAGAGAGCAUACCGGGCUGUUGACAGAAAGUAAUGCUGUGUAAACAGUCUGAUAUCACCCCAAACCGUUCUAAUGUACUUCUGUGUGGUUUAGCAUGUACUUGCACGACAUGUUUCACAUCAUGGCUAGUUUGCUGGCCAGCACACCUUUGGACGUGUAAUUCAACUUUGUUCUUUGUGUGCAGAUGCCCUUUGCCCAGCACCACGCCCCGGGCAGCAAAAGGCUGACUUGCCAAAAAGCCAGUACAUGUCAACUGCGAGAGAUAAAACUCGCCAGUCAACUCAACAUUGUGCUGCCAUUG